AAACCCCAAGAGCUAGAGCUAAGAUAUUUAGCAUUAAAAAUCUUCUAAUGGGUGUCUACCAAGCAUAACUUAAAACGUACUGGUUGGAAUUCAAAACAACUUCAUACAAUGGUCAAGCACUAUGAGAGGAAGUGCAAUGCACAAGAACUAUAACUCCAUCUUCGGUAUUUAUAGAGUAAUUGCCCUUUGUUCCUUUUCUUUGUCUUUCUUGACUUAUUACAGAGUAAUUCAAUAAAACUUCAUCAAUGGCCAACCACAUUGAAAGGAAAUGCAACAUACAAGAACCAUAACUACCUUUAAUUGCCCACAACCAUAACUCUAUAUUUCAAUUCUUUUACAAGGUAUUCAUUUACUAGUAACAUCCUCAUUUCCGAAGCAGUCUUGUGGGGGUAUUAAUCACAUUUAGUGAUAGUUCUAGUUUUAUUACCAUUGAGAUGGUUAAAAAUCAUCUUCAUUUUAUUGUGGAAAUAGUUCCUGAAUGGUUAUGGCUGUUGACCUCAAAUCAUGUGUUCCUUGCUGUUCUGGCUUAACAUUGUGUUUUAAACUCUAGAUUCUUUCUUGUAAGGAAUUUAUCCAACUGUCAUAUGGUAUCUUAAUGAUAUUACUUUGAUGCCUGCAUAUGACUAAAAAAGUAUGGAGAGGCACUUUAGAUGUUCUUUUAUUAGUAAAAUUAUGAUAGACAUUCUUUCAUCAGUAGAACUAUGAAAUGAUUACAUGAAUUAGUGUUUUGUAAUUUAGAAACAACAAAAAAGUAUGUAGAGAUUAGUAUGGUGGCCAAAUGAUCAGGGUUGCAGACAUACUAUAAGCACUCUUUCACAAAUGAAUGUUAUGUUUGAAUUUAGAAAGUGGUUACUGUUUUUAUGUUUGCUGAUACAUGUUAAAGGGACUCAACUGAGGUUUUUUGACAUGACGGGACUGGAAAUAAUUUUUUGAGAUUAUUACUCCAUUUGAUGUAAAUCUAUACUAAUAACUUAUGUGCAAAAUUUCAGAUCAUUAGCUCGCUCUGUUUUUCCAGAAUAAUUAUUAUUAAAGUGACAAAUUACCAAAAAUUGAAAAGCGUUUAAACGGUUUUCACUCAAAUCGGACUGAGAAUAGCACAAACAUAUGAUUUUCAAUGUAUUUCUAGUAUAUUUCUUGGUUAUAUUUCAUUUAUAUUUCUGUUUUAAGUGCUCAUGUUUAUCUAUGUGAAAAAUCAAAAUUUUAUGUUUUAAGGCUUAUAAACCUCAGUGGUGUUCCUUUAAUGUAUAUCAGAGGUAACACACAUAAUAGCUCUUCCAUUGAUAACGCUGGAGAAUCAUGUGAAACAUUAUUCUCUUCUUAAUCAAAGGUACAUUGUUAUUGAACACCUAAGAACUAGACACAAUUGCAUUGUAAAUAUGUAAUUUACAUAAUAUAGGAUGACUGACCUUUAAAUUGUAGGGCAAGGUUGAAUAUAAAUUGUCAGUUUUUCAAUGCAUAAAACUUAAUAUGACUAAAGCAUUAUAUAUUUUUUAUGAUUGGUAGUUAUGAAUUAUUUCCUUCCUGUAUCAAAUGAUUUUUUAAAGAUUUCUAUUUUCAGUGAGUUGUCAUUUUAUAUCUAUUUUUAUUGAAAACGUUCCAUAUUUUGCUAAGAUUGAUCUUCUGUAACUAUGGCAACAUUUAUCAUGUAUCUCAUCUUGUUAUUUAUAUAUAUUUAUUUCGGACAUUUUUUUAAGAAUAUGUUUAACUUAAAGGUUGUGCAAUUUUUUUUUUAUAUAUUUUAGAAAUUUAUCAAUUCCUCGGAAGUUAUUAGAAUUACCUUGUAUUGAGUUUGAAGAGAGGGUUCGGGGAGGGGGUGAUUUGUGCCACUGUAUUUAACAAUUUAUUAUCUGGUGAAUAUACCAUAUGAAAUUAUAGAAAUAAAAUUAGAGUUCUAUAUUGAAAAAAUUUGUAUAAAGAGGUAUGAGGGUAGAAAAACAUGGAUGUAUACAGUGUAUGAAUAUUUUAUGCUCGCACUACUCUUUGCGGAAGGGAUAUAUAGAUUUACCUUGCCAAUCAAUCCCUCCUCUAAGCUUUCAUGAAGUCCCACUGUAUCUACAUAGUCCAGAUUUCUUAGAAUAUUUGUCUUUGUGAGAAUUUAUGGACCUUUUAAUUUGCCGCAAAUGUAUUUGAGAUUAGCUGAGUUAUAUUCCAUGAUUUAGCAAAAAUAAGCAUAUUUGGUGCAUAACUCCAACAGUAUAACUGCUAUGUUUAUCCACACUAGCAACUAUAGAGGGGUUGUUUUAUUAUUAUUUUUUUUGCUACUAGUGGGAUGGUAUCCAUAGCCCUAGACACAUUUUCUAGUUAGUGAAUAGGUAAUUCUCAUGUAUGAAUAUUGUUGAGUGUUUAACAGUUCAUAGGUAGUUUAGUAUUUUUUUGAAAAUACAUUUCUUAUUUUUUUAAAGAGAUUUGUCUUCCAGAAAUGUACAGUUUUAAAAUUGCAUUUAAAAUUCUUCCGUAAGGGGUAGCUGCCAUAUUGAUUUGAGUGACAUUGCAAAGUUCCAGUUUUUGGUUUGAAAGGCCAACAGUUAGAUUUCUAGAUAAGGCUUAAUUAUUAAUGAAUGCUAUUUGAAUAGAAAGGUUGAGAGGAACAAUGCAUUAUUACAUGAUCUCAUAAUUCCCAUAAUAAAUUAGUUAUUUAGUAAAAAUUACACAUUCACUUGCAUUUUAAUUUUGUACAAAGUCUGUCAGUGAAUAAAAACUUACUUAAGUUGUUGUAAAAGGUUUUGAGCAAAACUAUGACACAAAUGAAUAUAUUUCCUUUAUCAAACUUUUCUGUAUAUUUUCCUGUGUGUUUUUGUGUCCAUAGUUUGUAUUAUCUUAUUGCUGUCUACAUUUGCCUUUGUCUUAAAUCUGUCCAAUUUUUCCCCUAUCAAACCUCUGUCCAUAUUUUAAUCUUGAGCUCACUCCUUCCAUAUAUUCCCAUAUCUAAAGCUUGUAUAUAUAAUUUGUUGCCUAAUUGUGAUUUAUACCUUGACUUAAUCCAUGUUCUGUCCAUGAUUUACAUUGUCCAAACUCGACUCAUUUAGUAAGAAACCUAAUUUUUCAUUUAAGAGUACCAUAAUUAUUUUGACCACUUAUGUACUCGUCCAAAAUUUUAGUUCAUCUCAUCAUUUUAAUUUUAUUAUUGACCAUCAUCUGAUUUCAUGUACACUUACUUAGGUCUUAAGUAAAAAAACAAUCAACAAUACCUCUACCGUUCAGCUAUUUACCAUAAAUCAAAACUUUCAUGAUGUGUCAGGGAUUAAUUUUUCAUUUUCUUUUCAACGAUUUUUUAUAUAGAUUCCUGUUAAAAUGCCAUAAUAUAAAUGAUAUAUAUUUAAUCAGUGCUUUAACAAAUAUUGGUUGUUUUGCUUGCAAUUUCUUUAUCAAAGAAAAAAAAAUAGUUUGUUGUAAUUGUAGUUUUAUUUUACUUGUUAUGACUGACAGAUUGUUGUACAAAUAAAUGUUUAUUGUUCCUUACAUAAAUUUGAUAAACUUUAUUGUAAGUUGUUAAGAGAGAUGAUAAUAGGUGCUUGAAAGUAAUCCACCAGGUUUUAAAACCUAAUUAUAAUACGCUUAUGUGGAAAAAAAGUUAAUUAUUCUAUGUAAGAUUCACUCUUCUUUAAAUGAUUUGAUUAGGAUUUUUCCUAAUUGACCAUUUCCUUUCUUUGAAAAAUACUCUUUGGGUUAUUCUAGUUCCAUUUUGUGUUUGAAAAAGUACAUUUGAGCCGCGUCACGACAAAACCAACAUAAUGGGUUUGCGACCAGCAAGGAUCCAGACCAGCCUGUGCAUCCGAAGUCGAGGAACUGAUAGCGAACAGCAUGGAUCCUGAUCAGACUGCGCGGAGGCUCAUAUUAUACAUGUUAAGGUAAUGCCCUUGAUAUGAUAUUGAUUAAAUGAGCAAUUUUCAGCUAAAUCAUGAAAAGAAAUGGCUAAAUAGAAUGUUUCUCAUUUCUUUAGAGGUUGAAAUGUCAGGAACAUUACUGUGUAUUUACUGAUCUGGUUGAACUUUGUUGAUGUAAAACUCUCUUUGUCAAUUGGUUAAUUUUCUGUCACAAUAUAUUGAGUAUUAAAAAUAUUCGAUGAAAUACAAUAUUGAGGGGGGUCAGCACAAAGCUGUUGUAAAUAAUGAAAAUAACCAGAUUAACUUUGAUAAGAAUAAUUUAUUAUGUGAGUUUUAGUCAUCUGCUUAUUUCUUGCUGUUGUUGUUGUUAUUAUUAAUAAUUAUGUUAAAUAUUGAAAGCAUUCCUUGAGGGCUCUGAGCAAAGCUUUUGUAAAACAUAAAAAACUUACAUGAGACUAUCAAAGAAUAAAGUUAUUCUUUUGAUCUAAGCGACCUACUUACGAGACAAAGUGUACAACAAAGUGCUUGAAAUGCUUGUCUUGUUAGUUACAAGGGUACAACUGCUUUGUUCAAGCCUUCAAUCAAGCUUCUCUUAGAACUGUUUACAGUUCAACUUACAAGGUGUGAUUUAUUUUUGUUAUUGUUUGUUGAUUUUGAUAAUAUUCUUUUGUUGUAUGUUGUGUUUUUAUUUUGCUCAAAUGGUUGUUGUUGAUUGUGAUUAUUAAUAAUAGAUGUCCAUUAGUUUGUUCCCUGUUGUAUGAAACUUUAAAA